rnacentral:rRNA from 1 species
CCUACGGGAGGCAGCAGUAGGGAAUCUUUCACAAUGGGCGAAAGCCUGAUGGAGCAACGCCGCGUGCAGGAUGAAGGCCUUCGGGUUGUAAACUGCUUUUAUAAGCGAGAAAUAUGAUGGUAACUUAUGAAUAAGGAUCGGCUAACUACGUGCCAGCAGCCGCGGUCAUACGUAGGAUCCGAGCAUUAUCCGGAGUGACUGGGGGUAAAGAGUUGCGUAGGUGGGAUAAUAAGUAGCUAGUGAAAUCUGGUGGCUCAACCAUUCAGACUAUUAGCUAAACUGUUAGGCUCGAGACCGUUAGGGGUAACUGGAAUUUCUAGUGUAGGAGUGAAAUCCGUAGAUAUUAGAAGGAACACCAAUAGCGUAGGCAGGUUGCUGGGACGGUUCUGACACUAAGGCACGAAAGCGUAGGGAGCAAACGGGAUUAGAUACCCAUGUAGUC